rnacentral:siRNA from 1 species
CUGAGCUGUCGAUCUGCUAAGAAC